GGUAUUAGCUCGAACCCGCCCAUAGUGAGUACAAAGUGCGAUGAAGGAAAGUGAAAGGAAGCAGGAAUGCGUAGCCGUGGCGGCCUCGCCGCAACCACGACCGCGUUCGAGUCUCUUCGGAGAGGCGCGCCCGCAGCGACGCCAGCUGUAUCGCUAGUUGGUCGAGUCGCAGCUGUGACAUCAGGACGUAGUCGUCCCAUCUCUCCUUCCAGAGGUAGAAGGCGUCACUGCGGUCGGUGGAGAUGUCCAGUCGGUCAGGCCGGAUCGGCUGCAGGCUCGUCAUACCACAGCGAUUACGAAGGACUGUUCUAGAAGCCCUCCACGCCAGCCACCUGGGGAAGGAGAAGACGAAGGCCCGCGCAAGACAGAUCGUCUACUGGCCCGGGAUCUACCGGGAUGUGGAAAAUGUCACCCGCUGCUGUACCAGCUGCCAGAGAGAUCUACCCGCUCAGCAGCAAGAGACCAUGAUGAGGAGACCGCCAGCGGAAAGGCCGUUCCAACUACACAUCGACUUUGCCGAUCACGCCGGCAGGAAGUACCUCGUGGCAGUGGACAGAUACUCCGGGUGGCUGUUUGUCGCCGACCUCGGUGUAAGCGCCCCCGCUUACACCGGUCCGAAGGACGAUAGCAGGCGUCAUGACGAGCGCACUCGCUACGCGACUAAGCGUAAAUGGACGGCACGGGAAAAGGGCUUUCGGCGGUACCUGGCUUUUUGAUGUCGUGUUCAGAGCCGUGCGGCGGAACGGGCUUACCCAGGACACCAACAACGGCCAGCUGGAGGUGGCGCCACGAAAGUGGUUUACGGGUGCCAGAAACCGCGACGGAGGCCGCCAGGAGAGGAGACCAGCUGGAGUUUAAGCGGAGGAGCAGAUGAGAGAAGAAGUCUAGAGAUGAACAGAAGAGAGGAGAGAGUUUAAACAGCAUUUUUGUGUUUAUCGAUAAUAUAAUUAUUGAUCACUGA
rnacentral:lncRNA from 1 species